UACGUAGGGGGCAAGCGUUGUCCGGAAUCAUUGGGCGUAAAGAGCGUGUAGGCGGCCAGAUAAGUCCGCUGUGAAAUCUCGAGGCUCAACUUCGAGCUGUCGGUGCAAACUGUCUGGCUAGAGUCCGGGAGGGGCGAGUGGAAUUCCUGGUGUAGCGGUGAAAUGCGCAGAUAUCAGGAGGAACACCAAUGGCGAAGGCAGCUCGCUGGAACGGUACUGACGCUGAGGCGCGAAAGCGUGGGGAGCAAACAGG
rnacentral:rRNA from 1 species